GGCACCCAGAUCCUCUCCCGGGCUGGCUCUCAGCAGAGAGUGGAUGCUUUCUUCCUGAAGCUGGGCUCCAAAGGGCCGGAGGCGUUCUGUGCUUUUUGCUCUCAUCUGGAGGAAUUCUGCCCUUACCUGCUCACCUGCUUUUUUCUUUACUUCCAAGAGAGGACCCGCGGGACCCUGCAAGACGCAGCUGCCGCAGCGCAGGAGGCAAAGGCUGGAGCUCAGCCUGAGAAGCUUCACAGAGUCCUUGAGCCGGAGGAUCGGGGAAGUCUUCAAUUAUUUAACAAGGUAACGCCGUCCUCUGAAAACCCCAGUGGUGCUACUUCUAGUAUCAGCCAAGGAAAGCCUUCUUUAAGACGAAUUAAAGGGAGACUGCACAGAAGCAAGAGCCUCGAUAGCAUCGAUUUCUGUGAACUCACUGUGAGUGGAUGGUUUAAGACUUUUCUUCCUUUUCAAAGCAUAUGAAAAAAUUGAUUUUUAAAAAUUAUCAUUAGAAGGAAAUGGGAUUAUUUUGUAUUAAGCAUUUUUCAGUAAAAACUGGUUUACACAACAGGUUACCAACUGGCAUAACUUUCUUAACCAGUACCCAUAGAUAUGUUUGUGAUAAGUGGUUCAUAAUGAUGAUUCUGGUUCACAGACCAAGAUAAAGAUGUGUUUCCUGAACUCUACAAUAAAAGUUGAGUUAAGGUCAGUGUAUGAAGUAAAUUUCUUGGAAAAAUCACAAAUCCACAUGUUAAUGUAGGUACCGAUCUAAGUAUUUGAUGAACCCCAAACACCCAACUUCCUGGUAGUUCUGGAAAAUAGAGGUGCCCUCAUAUAUUAGGACAGAUCCUGGUUCAGUUAGCGAUGGUGUUUUCUUUUUGUACUUGGUGGUUAACAUUAGUGGUCUUUUUUCACCAGGCCAGGUAACAGUUUUUCACAAGGGCAUAUGGUAAAUUCGUGAUGUUUUUAGAGAUCACCGGUGUUCAGGCCCCAUUUUCCUUUCCUGUUAAUUGUGUUGUCCUGGUCUAGAAGAGCUGCUUAAUGCCAUAAAGGAAACACUAGGGUUUUCUCUGUGAGAAAACCAGCUGUGAGAUUUUUUUCAUAUGUAUGUGCUGUAGGAUUCAUUGGCAAAUUAAUGGAUGUUUGGGAUGCUUAGACAAGAUAUGUUAAUUUCUCCCCUCUUUGAGCUCUGACAAAUUCAGAAUUAUGAAAAUACCACUGACCAUUAUUGUUUCAAAAGGCAGUUAGAAAGCAUAGAAGUAAAGCCUGUCUUUUUUGAGGACACAACUGCAGCAUCUUUUA